CCACCCCUGCCCUAGGCAAUUCCCUGGGUUCCCCAUAUGCCAAUUAUAGGGCUCUCUAUAGAAACCCCCACCUCCUUUCCAUCCUGUCAGUCAAUUCUAUGGCUUGGUUUGCAUGGCAGACUCUCCAGCCUCCUUUUCUAGGUAAGACCCAUAGAAUUCUUCUUCCAUUUAUAGAUGUGCUGGAGCAGACAAACCAGCCUGGCUGCAGUAGAAAGUCAUCCUGAGAGAGAGAACAGAAGCAACAUGUGCCAGGAAGACCAAACCUCAUCUGUAAGAGGAGGUUGGACUAAAGAUCUCUAAGGCACCUUCUGCUUCCAAAUCCUACUACUUAAAGAUGAAAUUAUAUUUAAUAAAAACGAUGUCCUGGAACAGACAAACCAGCCUAGCUGCAGUAGAAAGUCAUCCUGAGGGAGAGAGAUAGGAAGCAGCAUGUGCCAGGAAGACCAAACCACCUUUUGGACUUUGAGCCCAAGAGCUCUGGGAACACCGUUGGCACCAGACCACCAUCUCUGCUCGGAAUCCAGACUCCUAGUCAUAUUCCAGGAGAGCAAUCCCCAAACUGCCACCCCCUGCCACUAACACUGCCAAUUGCUGACAACUGCUGAAGAUGGGAGGAGAGAAGAGGAAGGGAAGGCAACGAUCAUUUAUAAAGUGUCUACUAUGUUCCAGCACUGUGUUUAGCACUUUCACAAACAUUAUCUCAUUUUUGUCUCAUUUGAUUGAUUAGGACAAGUAAACCCAAGAGUCCCAGAAGAGUGAGGCCCCUGAGACCAAUGGAACUACUUCCAGCCUGGCUCCCUCAUCCAUCAUCCAGGGAAGGCUCCUUUACCAAAAUGACGCCGAACAACUGUCUUGCAGGGGUGGCACCCUCCGCUUCCUUUGGAGACACAGCUACGGAGGACCAGGAAAAGAAAGUUCUCGCCACCCAAGUCCCUGACGUCUCAAAUGGUUCAACAUAGGAAACCUAUAUAGUUUUAGCAAUGGAAAUGGCAUUAAAGGAGGCACCUUACCACCACUGUGCCCUAACAACCACUGACUUGUAGAGCUGAACCCUCCUAUAUGAGCUGUCUUCUCAGUGUAGAAUGUGAAUAGCCUAUUUGUAGCCUUAUCGCUUAGCAGAGUGCUUUGGAAGCACCAAACAAAUGCGCUUUUUUUCAUUCAUUCAUAUCUCUCAGUAUUUCAACAGUAUAUCUAUAUUGGAAAGACACUGUUGAUGGACAAUAAGUUGGAUCCAGAAUCAGAUUAGGAGGCAGUCAAGCCAGGUCACAUUUGGGAAAUCAAAACAGUGGUUUAAGUGAUCCCUAACUGUGUUUUACUGGAAAAGGCCAUCUCUUCUCUUCCCCUCCCUGCCUCCCCCUCUCCCCCAUCGCUGCUGCUCCUCCUCCCCUCCUCUCUAAUGUUAAUAUUCCUCUAAUCAUGUUUGGCCAACAAAUCACAGAUUACUAUCACCUCAGAAAAAUCAAACCCAAAGGGCAAUAGAAUCUUGACGGACAUAGGUGUCAGCACGUCAUCCAUAAUGACUGGACAUCAUUCAGAACACCGAGACAAGUGGGUCUGAUGUGGAGUGAAGGUGGAGGAUGACAGAUACCCCGAGUGUUGAACUGGUAUCUAUAAAAUGCUAAAUAGCCAGAGAAAGAUCUUCAGGAUAGUGGGAGAAUUCUCUCAGGAACUUAUGGAAAGAACUUAUGAGAAAUGCACAGGAUUAGAAGGUAUGAAAAAGAUGCAUGCAUGGAUAAAGUUCUCACUGAGACCACAGAUCUAUCAGAGAACAUUUGAGGCCACGAGACUUUCACAGACUGUUCCAUGGAUCAAAUCUUCUCUAAGUAUACGGAUCCUCCUACCAGUUCCAAUACAGUGUAAAAAUCAGUUCCUUUAUCCAGAUGACUGCCAAGAUUGGGCUUUCUGAAUGUUUCCGGGUUUGCUGUGGUGGAAAAGACAAUGUGACACAGUGAGGAGAAUGCUAUACUUGGAGUUAUAAGUUAAGACCUGGGCUUUGGUCUCAACUCUGACAUUUACUACACAUGUAACCCUAAACAAGUCAUUUAAACCCAUGAGCCUUAGUUUCACAUGUAAAUGGAGAUAAGAACACUACCUAUGUUAUUAUGAGGAAAGGAUUUUGUUAAAUGUAUAAAAAGCAAACUAUUAUUAUAUUUCAAUACUUCAAACAUAUAAGAUUUCAUCGGUGUGGUCCCUCCCUCCAACGUUGAUCCUGAUUCUGCUAUGCUUCAAUAGAUAAUCCUCAUGUAUUACAAGGGCUGAAAGAAUUCAUCACUGGUGGUUAAUCUCCAUAGUGAGGCUGCUCUUGGAAGGAGAGAUGUACAGACUGUUACCUGGCCCCUUCCCAAAAGUCUGUGCGGGCUGGUCAGACCCAUCAGACCUCGGAUUCCGUGGCCAUAGUCCUUGAGAACCUAGUAUGUCACCUCCAUACCAUGAUAAGACAGUGGAGCAACACUGUUAGAGAAUGAUUAUUGUUGUUUACUGUGAAAUGCUUCAAAUAUCCAAAGCUUUAUGAAAAGUAUGUGAAGCAGUCAAGGGUUCCCCAACAUUUCACGUUAAAAUGACACAGCUACUUGUUGCUUUGGAAUGGUAACCAGGUUGUGACAGAUAAGAAGAAAGAUCAGCAAAAGCUUACAAAACCAUGGCAAAUACUACACAAAGGAGGGUGAACUAAAUCCUCCAAAAGCAGCUGCUUCUCCUACAAGGAAUAAUGAUGAGAAUUCAGAGAUGUCGUAAGGUGAGGAAUCAUCCAGUAAGGGCCAGAGGAAAAGGAGUCCAGCGCUAUUAGCUGGUGACAUCUUGUUGAGAGGUAGGGAGGGAGGUGGUUAGUUGUUGACCUGUUAAGAAUAAGAGUGACAUCUGCUAUCUUUCUGGGGUGUACAGUGGGGACGUGACAGAGAACACCUCACCUCUGUCACACCAGAUGACUAGUAGCCACUUCUGAUGAUUCCCACAGGCACAAAUAAUACUGCUAGAAGGAACUGAGAAAGAUUCCUAACAAUCAUACUCAGGAAAGAAAGAGAAGGUCUAAGAAGAACAAGUAAUGUUUUCAUUGAGCUAUCACUGAUGUCAGGCUUCAUUUAAGAAAGGAAGAUUUGGGAAGUCAAUAGCUCUUACUGUGACUGGGUGUCUUAAAAUGGGAUUCAAGGACAGAUUAAAAUAUAGCAAUGCUGGGCCCUGACCACGGAUGGAGUAUAUGUAACAAGAAUUAGAAUGAGUGCAUUUGCUGAGAUUUUGCCAAUUUGGUCAAAAAUACUUUAAAUUAAAAAGGAAGGAGGAGAGGCAGCUAGAUG